rnacentral:lncRNA from 1 species
AUUGGAUUAUUCUUUCAAUAUAUUAAGGGAUUAGUCUUUAACUUUUAAUUAAAUAUAUUAACUAAAACCAUAUAUAUCUAUAGUUCCCAUGAUGACGUGUCCACUGUCCACAUGGUUUGUUUUUGUCUAGCUUGCAUUAUAAGGGUUCGUGUUUAGCUUUAGUUUCUUUGUUUUUAGCGGUAACAACAUUAUAUGUCUCAGUUGAAUAAAACGACAAAUGUUUCAAUUUUGUUAAAACUCCGUUAAGUGAUUGAUUGAUACUCCGUUACGGGAUUGAUAGUUACUAUAUCUAUGCACGUGUAUUUGUGUAUGAGGAAUUUGCAAAGGAAUAUAAGGCUUGUUUGGAUUUUUGUUAAGAGGGGAAUGCUGAUUUUUUUUUAAAUAGAAUGAUUCGUUGAACAGUUACAUCAAGUUGCUGCUAAUGUUAUACAUGUAUUAUGGUGGAUUAUUUGCAACAUAGUAUAUUCUGUGGGUGGUUCAAUACGUGUAGGCUGUGUAAACUGGUAUAGAGGGAGCGGACUGGCCUGUUAGUCUGCUGCCUUCAUUGCUGUAAUUUUCUGCACUUCUUGUGCCUUUAAUGUAAUCAAUGUUAUUGCUGUUGAAAAGAAAUUGUGAGUCAAAUUUAAUAUAUAAAAUUUAUUAUUA